CAGACAAGUACUGACUUAGCAAGACAGGAAGUGCCCAGGGCCUGCUGAAAUAUUACUUUUUUUUUUUUUUAAUUAAGAAGAAAAAGUGCUUGGUGUUCCCAGGUGUAGUUACUGAGCAGCAUGGUUCCAAAGGACAGCAAAAGCACUUUACUGCCUUAGAAGGAGGGGAGGCUUUGCCAGGCCUAUGAAACCCUCAUCUGGAUCUGGCCUCCAGGGCAGCCUCCUGCCUGCCUCUCUGGUGAGGCUCAGCUUCUGCUCUGCCUCACCAGCUCCCCUCCAGUUCCCCUCACUCUGAGGGUGCAGGGAGCAGGGUCCCACGGGAGCAUUGGUGUGAGAGGGAGCUCCCAGCACCGAGGGAGAAGCAGGACUCACUGACCAAACCAUGUGUUUGUGCUGGAAGGGCCUCACUGCAAACAUGCUCAUCUUAUGGAAGAAGAAAGGAGGUUCAGAGAGGGAAAGGCUUGCCUGAGGUCACACGCCCGCUGAAUAUGGACUCCAACGGUGCCCUAGGGGAUGGUGGAGCCACCAGAUGGAAGGAGCCUGGUGAUCCCGAGAAGGAGAGAUGCCUCGCUGACCUGAACAUCUUUCCAGAACUGUUAAAUGAAGCCUGCAGGACACCAGCUGACAGUGGAAGGACUGAGGAAGGUUGUAUAAUUUUGUGCAAGGUCCACCACAAAUCCAGCUGAAGAACUGCUCCAAAGUUUAGGUCAUGGCAAGAACAAGACUGGAUCACUCCAUGUCAGUGGAAACAUGUCCACCAACUUCAUCAUUGUCUGUUGUCAUGGUUCACUUUAGAUGUAAACUUGACUGGAUUAAGGAUUCCCUAAAGUGUCAGGCCUCUGAGCCCAAGCUAAGCCAUCAUAUCCCCUGUGACCUGCAUGUACACAUCCAGAUGGCCGGUUCCUGCCUUAACUGACGACAUUCCACCACAAAAGAAGUGAAAAUGGCCUGUUCCUGCCUUAACUGAUGACAUUAUCUUGUGAAAUUCCUUCUCCUGGCUCAUCCUGGCUCCAAAGCUCCCCCACUGAGCACCUUGUGACCCCCACUCCUGCCCACCAGAGAACAACCCCCUUUGACUGUAAUUUUCCUUUACCUUCCCAAAUCUUAUAAAAUGGCCCCACCCCAUCUCCCUUUGCUGACUUUCUUUUCAGACUCAGCCCUCCUGCAACCAGUUGAUUAAAAGCUUUAUUGCUC
rnacentral:lncRNA from 10 species